GAUGAACGCUGGCGGCGUGCCUAAUACAUGCAAGUCGAGCGAACAGAUGAGGAGCUUGCUCCUCUGACGUUAGCGGCGGACGGGUGAGUAACACGUGGAUAACCUCCCUAUAAGACUGGGAUAACUUCGGGAAACCGGAGCUAAUACCGUAUAAUAUAUUGAACCGCAUGGUUCAAUAGUGAAAGACGGUUUUGCUGUCACUUCUAGCUGGAUCCGCGCCGCAUUAGCUAGUUGGUAAGGUAACGGCUUACCAAGGCAACGAUGCGUAGCCGACCUGAGAGGGUGAUCGGCCACACUGGAACUGAGACACGGUCCAGACUCCUACGGGAGGCAGCAGUAGGGAAUCUUCCGCAAUGGGCGAAAGCUUGACGGAGCAACGCCGCGUGAGUGAUGAAGGUCUUCGGAUCGUAAAACUCUGUUAUUAGGGAAGAACAAAUGUGUAAGUAACUAUGCACGUCUUGACGGUACCUAAUCAGAAAGCCACGGCUAACUACGUG
rnacentral:rRNA from 1 species